UGGGGAAUAUUGCACAAUGGGCGCAAGCCUGAUGCAGCCAUGCCGCGUGUAUGAAGAAGGCCUUCGGGUUGUAAAGUACUUUCAGCGGGGAGGAAGGGAGUAAAGUUAAUACCUUUGCUCAUCGACGUUACCCGCAGAAGAAGCACCGGCUAACUCCGUGCCAGCAGCCGCGGUAAUACGGAUGGUGCAAGCGUUAAUCGGAAUUACUGGGCGUAAAGCGCACGCAGGCGGUUUGUUAAGUCAGAUGUGAAAUCCCCGGGCUCAACCUGGGAACUGCAUCUGAUAAUGGAAAGCUUGAGUCUCGUAGAGGGGGGUAGAAUUCCAGGUGUAGCGGUGAAAUGCGUAGAGAUCUGGAGGAAUACCGGUGGCGAAGGCGGCCCCCUGGACGAAGACUGACGCUCAGGUGCGAAAGCGUGGGGAGCAAACAGG
rnacentral:rRNA from 1 species